rnacentral:rRNA from 1 species
CCUACGGGAGGCAGCAGUGGGGAAUUUUGGACAAUGGGCGAAAGCCUGAUCCAGCAAUGCCGCGUGAGUGAAGAAGGCCUUCGGGUUGUAAAGCUCUUUUGUCAGGGAAGAAACGGUGAAAGCUAAUAUCUUUUGCUAAUGACGGUACCUGAAGAAUAAGCACCGGCUAACUACGUGCCAGCAGCCGCGGUAAUACGUAGGGUGCAAGCGUUAAUCGGAAUUACUGGGCGUAAAGCGUGCGCAGGCGGUUUUGUAAGUCUGAUGUGAAAUCCCCGGGCUCAACCUGGGAAUUGCAUUGGAGACUGCAAGGCUAGAAUCUGGCAGAGGGGGGUAGAAUUCCACGUGUAGCAGUGAAAUGCGUAGAUAUGUGGAGGAACACCGAUGGCGAAGGCAGCCCCCUGGGUCAAGAUUGACGCUCAUGCACGAAAGCGUGGGGAGCAAACAGGAUUAGAUACCCUGGUAGUCCACGCCCUAAACCGAUGUCUACUAGUUGUCGGGUCUUAAUUGACUUGGUAACGCAGCUAACGCGUGAAGUAGACCGCCUGGGGAGUACGGUCGCAAGAUUAAAACUCAAAGGAAUUGACGG